UGAGUUGUUUUUACUUGAUAAAUAUUUAUCGGGCAUCUCCCACGUAGAAGGCACAUGUGCAGGGCACGGAUGCAGAAGGAAGAGGGAGUAGCAUAAGGCCCCAGCAGCCCACGGCUCUCACUCUACCAGAGUCGACCAGCACCGAGAAUUAAAACAAGGCAGAAUGUGAGAAGUACUAUAAAACGGAAAAAAGCAAACAGGACGGGGAGUGAUUCCAAGUGGCGAGGCUGCGAAGGAUCUUGCGGAAGAUAAGAUUAGAGCAGGGUCCAGAAAGACAGGAUGCUGUAUGGGGCUUCCAGUCUGCAAUUACCCAGGAAGACUCAGUGAAAUGUAUCACCGAGAAACUGUGGUGUGCUUUCCGUACAAACAGGAAGUGCUAACUUCACACAGGAGACCUCUGUACCUUCUUGUGGACUGAAUGACUGUGCAGUGUGGACCCCGAAGGAAGGAGAGACUGCUGUGCUCUUAAAGUCUGUGAAGAGGUGGACCAGAGGCAGUGAGAGAGUAAAAUGAAGAACGCUGAACUGUCUAUAGGUCUUGGCAGUAUUUUGUUUGUUUUGUUUUGUUGUGUGUGUGUGUGUGUGUGUGUGUGUGUGCAUGUAUGUGUGUUUAAGGUAAGAAACAACAGUAACAUGUGAUUUUUUAAAAAGAAUGUACAGAGCUUGUCCUCAAAUCUCAAAACCUCCUUUACGUGGCUAUGGAGGAUGUCUAGCAGGGUUUCUCUUUUGUUGAGGUGGAAGCAGAGGUUAUUGGCAAGCACCCCGCUGUCUGGGAACUGGUCCCUUCCCACGUCUCUGACAAUAACCAGAGUACAUUCCUCAAGGAGGAGAAAACUUUGGGAGGGAGAUUUUCUUUUUGCCCAAUGUUGAUUUGGUGAUUAA